rnacentral:rRNA from 1 species
AACGAACGCUGGCGGCAGGCAUAACACAUGCAAGUCGAGCGCAUCCUUCGGGGUGAGCGGCAGACGGGUGAGUAACGCGUGGGAACGUACCCUUUCCUACGGAAUAGCUCCGGGAAACUGGAAUUAAUACCGUAUACGCCAUUAGGGGGAAAGAUUUAUCGGGGAAGGAUCGGCCCGCGUUGGAUUAGCUAGUUGGUGGGGUAAAGGCCUACCAAGGCGACGAUCCAUAGCUGGUCUGAGAGGAUGAUCAGCCACAUUGGGACUGAGACACGGGCCAAGCUCCUACGAGGGGCAGCAGUGGGGAAUAUUGGACAAUGGGCGCAAGCCUGAUCCAGCCAUGCCGCGUGAGUGAUGAAGGCCUUAGGGUUGUAAAGCUCUUUCAGUAGGGAAGAUAAUGACGUUACCUACAGAAGAAGCCCCGGCUAACUUCGUGCCAGCCGCCGCAGUAA